rnacentral:rRNA from 1 species
CAUAUCACCCUAAACAUGCCUGAUCUUGGAAGCUAAGUAGGGUUGGGCCUGGUUAGUACUUGGAUGGGAGAAAAGAGACAAAAAUAAUA